rnacentral:rRNA from 1 species
AAUAGAUACCCCGGGUAGUCCACGCCGUAAACGAUGAAUACUAGGUGUAGGGGUUGUCAUGACCUCUGUGCCGCCGCUAACGCAUUAAGUAUUCCGCCUGGGGAGUACGGUCGCAAGAUUAAAACUCAAAGGAAUUGACGGGGGCCCGCACAAGCAGCGGAGCAUGUGGUUUAAUUCGAAGCAACGCGAAGAACCUUACCUAGACUUGACAUCUCCUGCAUUACUCUUAAUCGAGGAAGUCCCUUCGGGGACAGGAAGACAGGUGGUGCAUGGUUGUCGUCAGCUCGUGUCGUGAGAUGUUGGGUUAAGUCCCGCAACGAGCGCAACCCUUAUUGUUAGUUGCCAUCAUUAAGUUGGGCACUCUAGCGAGACUGCCCGGGUUAACCGGGAGGAAGGUGGGGAUGACGUCAAAUCAUCAUGCCCCUUAUGUCUAGGGCUACACACGUGCUACAAUGGUCGGUACAAUAAGACGCAAGCCCGCGAGGGGGAGCAAAACUGGAAAACCGAUCUCAGUUCGGAUUGUAGGCUGAAACUCGCCUACA